CUGCAUCCUGCUUUCCUCCGCUAACAAGCUGCAGAGGAUUGAGGAAGUGGAGCGGUCUGGGACCCAGGGCAGGAAGCUUGGGGCCGGAGUCCCAGCAUCCGGACUGCAACAAUGGAAGCUUCAAGCACCAGGAAAAGAGACAGACACAGACAGAGGCAGAGGGAGAACAAAUCAGUCAGAGAGGGAACGAGAAACAGAGGCAGAAAUACAGAAAGGCAGACAGAGAGAGAGAUUCCAAAAGUAACAGAGAAAGGCAGGAACAAAGAAAGAGAAACAGUGACAGAGACACGGAGAGAAAGCAACAGAAAGGGGCGGAGGACAAAGAGAAGCAGAAAGGGAACAAGACAGAGAAAGAGAAACUGAUAACAGGCGGAAGUCAUUGAGGAAAGGAGAACUCGGGAAUGUUGGUCAUGAAACUAGAGACAGAGACAGAGCAGGAGAUAACAAAAGAAUAAGAGAGAAGGAAAGACUGAGAACGAUUAUAAGGAGAAACUGAGAGAGGCUCACUAAGAAACGGAAAAGGAGAAAGUAUAAGAAUGAGUUUAGGGCAAAGGGCCCUCUAAACCUCUCUCCCUCUCUCUCUCUCCCGCUCUUCCUCCCGGCCCCCCCGCCCCCGGGGGGGGCGGGCCCUUCUCUCUGCUCCCUAUCCCACACCGUUAGGUUUCUACAGCUCUGGGCUGGGAGCCAAGACUCGCUUCUCUUCUGCUACCUCAGACGACACCUGCCAGGAGAGAGGAACGGGGUGCCUGUGUACCAGAGCAAGAUGAGGUGCCCAGGCCUGGCAGAGAGACCUCUGUCUUCCCAAUACCUCUCAAACAGCAAGGUGAGCUGCCCAGGGGCGUUAGGGAGGGGCAACUCUGAUGCCCCUCACCACCAAAGCCCCUCUAAUUUGGAUGUCCCACUCCACCCCACCUGGAUGUCAAAAGGCCACGCCCUGUCUUCUUAGACCCCUGGGCUUUCACCUGUGGCCAGGAUGAGGGAAGUCCCUGGAUCAGGAACAGAAAGCCACCACCACCGCCCAACCCAUCCUCUAGUUACCUGGCCCUAGGCCGCUCACUUGCAGGCUGGGUGGCUGGACCGAGUCACAUAAUGUUCCACUGUUACCCCAGCAGCUGGGACAACCAUUGAGACCUCUCCUCCCAAAUAGGCACCCUUGAGGAGGUUGGAGAUGAAGGGCUGGGACAGAGUCUUCUUUGCUGGGGGCGACAGCCUGCUAGGGACUCAACAGCAGUUUCCUUAGAAGGAAGCGGCGCAGUUUGGAAGCCGUGUCAGGCGCCGAGAGCGCCUCUGAACCCGAGCCUGGGAGGGGAGAGAGAGAAGAGGAGACGCAAAGGGGCUGCUCUUUGGCCCCAUUCCCCGACCUUGGAGGAUUCCUCCCCUCCCCCCCCCCCCAGGCGGCUGCAGUCCCCCCCACUGAGAACGCGACCUCCUCGCCUGGACUCCCGGCUCCGCGGAUUCGGUCUCCCUGACCAGAGCCCUUUCCACCCCACCCUAGCGCUUCCAGUCCCAACCACUGGAGACCUAGUCGAGCGAAGUGGGGAAAGGGCACCCAACGAGGGACCCAGAAGAGCCUGAUGGCCCUAAGAAGUUAGUAGACUUUCUUCCCACUUGUCCUUCCAGCUCCCCCACCCCCCCCCCCCACACACACACACACACCCUAUCCCCAGGGCUCAUCUGGGCCCUGGUCCACUCUGCCUUCCAGAGAACUGUAUCAACCGAACUCCUGGGGAAGGAGGUGCUAAGCCCCUUCUUCCUUCCUGGAUGCUUGUUUCCACUGCCCGACUCCCUCCCCAGAGGAAGAUUGACCAGGGAGAUUGCCACCCGUCGUUGUGCAAAUUGUGCAUCGCACAACUCCUAUUUCUCUCGUAGCCCCUUGUAGAUUUGUGUAGCUGUUAUGACAGUUUUCCAGCAGGUGGCAGACAAGCAUUUCCAGGUAGGGGUGUCUUUUCCUAAUUCGACCAGCUUUGCUAUUUGGGCUAGCUAGGGGCUAGCUAGGUCCUCUGUGAGAUCCUGCUGGUGCCUGUUUCCCCCACGCUCGCCUCAGUCCUGCUGGGAUUGGGAGGGACCCUACAGUAACAUUUGAGUAGGGACCUGUCUCCUGGGUUCUCUCUCUGGUCCCCAGUUCCCUAGGUACCCAUCUAUCCUCCCCCACAAAGCUUUCUGCUGUCCUGGAGCUGGUUUCAGGAUGCCUGAGGGGUAAGGGUGCCUGUCAGGGCAUAAUAGGUGACCUACCAUGGAUUUUUUUUUUUUUUUUUUUUUGGCUUGGCCUAUAAAGCUACAAGGCAGCCAAGCCAAAGUACAGAUCAGAGACCAUCUUCCAGACUCCCAGGACAGCGAUCUUUCAGUCUCCCAGCAAGUAGGCCCCCUUCCACUUUCUCCAAGUGUAAACUGUCCAGGUGAUAGGAAGAAGAGAGGGGCUGGAAGCUGAACUUGUAGGGACAGAACACAAAAGUUGCAAACUGACGGCACCUACUGGCAACUAUCAAGACUGCAGAAGAUCUGGAGAGUUCUGACGGGGCAGGAGGGCCCGGGGACAAGAUUCUGGGAUUCUCUCCCUGCUAUCUCACAGACAAACUGGGGUCUUUUCUGUCUUGGAUAAGGGCAAACAGAGCCAGGCUCUUUACGUCCCCGGGGGAAGCCCAGCCUGCACCUGAUUCAGAAAACUUCCCCUAGCUCUAUCCCCCUAUCCCCCUCCAUCAUCACUGAGGCGCCAACGUAUUGUAUGAACUUGGACCCCACCCCUUGGAGCUGGAAUUGUCCCUAACUAUAAAAUGGAGGUACAUCAUCUCCACCUAUUCUGCCUCUUGAAGCGCUUGUGGGAAUAAAAUGGGAACUGAAAGGAUGGGUUCCAACCACAAAGCCAGACUUGCCCCCUUGACAGCAAACCUGAGAGAGCUAAAGGUGCUGGGACAUGGAGGAAGGAGUUGCAGGAGAGGCUGGACUGAAGCCAAAAGAAGGACCUGGAAGUGAAGCAUGAGUGCAGCCUUCCAAACAGCUGUCAGAAGUACUCUAAACAAUUGCUGAGGGAAAAAGACUAUGGUACAGAGUGCAAGAUGGGUGCAGAGAAGGAGAGUGGAAGUGGCAUUGGCAUGGAAAUGGAUCCCAGAACUCCCCAGAGCUUUGGCUUCCCAACCCCUCCCUGGCGCCCUGGACUUCCCACUGUGCCUGCCCGGAAUAGGGGGGCUCAACUCCCUUCCAGGUUGGCUGAUGUCCAGACCCCAGGUAGAGCAUCCUCCAGGGGGCGCUGCAGGUGUGCUCUGAGCAAUGGCACAUCAGUACAGCUGCCUCCUUGUGCACCGGGGCCCCAUACUUGGAGAGAACAGAUCAGGAGAGCUAGGAUCUCCAUAGAGACCCCAUAGUACAGAAGGAAGUCUGGUUCAGAGGCUAGAGCCUCGGUCCUUCCCUCAGGACACGUAGCUCGAGAAAAGGACACCCAGACAGAGGAUGGGGAGUGGAGAGGAGAGCCCAUCUGCAGUUGAGCUGGCCAGGAUCUGGUUUCAUAUCUCCAGUCCAACCAGCUUGGCCACUUGCCAGCUUUGUGGCCACUUCUCCUUCCUCAGCUUCAGUUUUAUCAUCUGUAAAAUGGGGGAGGGGAACUCCUUGAAUUGUGAGCCCCCUUCCCAGCUUGGGCAGUCUAGGAAUCUAGAAUCUCUGGAGUCUUUUUGCCUGGCCCCAGGCCCUAUGCCGGCAUGGCUCCCAACCCCCCAGAGUUUGCAGUUUCCAAGCCAACUGACACCCAUGGAAUCACUUUCUCAUUGGUCAAAAAAUGUGUAGGAGACAAGCCAAGUGAAUGCUGUUGAGUCCUAUGAGAGUUCUGUCACUGCCCAGAAAGGUGACGAGGCUCACUCAAGGGCAUACAGCUAGUAAUUAAUACAGCCAAGACUUAAGCCAAAUAUAUUUACUACCUGCUACA